GACAGAGGGUGCAAACGUUGCUCGGAAUUACUGGGCGUAAAGCGCGUGUAGGCGGACCGUUAAGUCAGACGUGAAAGCCCUGGGCUCAACCCAGGAACUGCACCUGAAACUGGCGGUCUUGAGUGGUGGAGAGGGAAGUGGAAUUCCUGGUGUAGAGGUGAAAUUCGUAGAUAUCAGGAGGAACACCAGCGGCGAAGGCGGCUUCCUGGACACCAACUGACGCUGAGACGCGAAAGCGUGGGGAGCAAACAGG
rnacentral:rRNA from 1 species